AAAAAACUACCAUGUAUCUGUAACUAAACCCAAGAACACCAAAUUCUUUCAUAGAUAUCUAUUAUAUAAAGAUCUAUUAUAUAAAGAUCUCUAUUAUAAUGAAUUGAACAAUCAUAACAUCGUGAUCUAAGUAGCCUCUAGGCAUGUGUUACCAAAAAUUUAAUCUAGCUAAUUUUUUAAUGAAGGGAUAUGUAUAUAAUGAAGGAUACCAACUAAUAUUUUUUUUCUGCUUCUCAUGACCUCUCUCUCUCUCUCUCUCUCUCUC
rnacentral:lncRNA from 1 species